GCUGAUUUUGUCAAUUUUAGUUGCUGUAAACCACUUAUUUUCCUCAAAAUUUAACUGACACUCUUCCCCCCAUCUUUUUAUUGGCUCCAGCGAGGUGAAAUUAUCUUGUCUUUUAGCUCCCCAUAUUAACUGCAGAGCAAACAUUAUACCCCUGUAUUUCCAUUAUUUUAGUUUAAUGUUCCCAGUUAGGGUUUCCAAUAUUUUGAUUGGGAUUUAAAUAUUCAAAUUGAAAGUGG